UACGUAGGGGGCAAGCGUGGUCCGGAUUUAUUGGGCGUAAAGAGCGUGUAGGCGGCUAGAUAGGUCCGUUGUGAAAACUCGAGGCUCAACCUCGAGACGUCGAUGGAAACCAUCUGGCUAGAGUCCGGAAGAGGAGAGUGGAAUUCCUGGUGUAGCGGUGAAAUGCGCAGAUAUCAGGAAGAACACCCGUGGCGAAGGCGGCUCUCUGGUACGUGACUGACGCUGAGACGCGAAAGCGUGGGGAGCAAACAGG
rnacentral:rRNA from 1 species